AUCGCUAUAGCUUAGUGGAAGAGCGCGAGGCUCAUAUGGGUAGUUCCAUACGACACCUCGAGGUCCCAAGAUCGAGACUUGGUGGCGAUA